rnacentral:rRNA from 1 species
UACGUAGGGGGCAAGCGUUGUCCGGAAUCAUUGGGCGUAAAGCGCGUGUAGGCGGCUUGGUAAGUCCGCUCUGAAAGCCCGGGGCUCAACCCCGGGAGGCGGGUGGAUACUGUCAAGCUUGAGUCCGGAAGAGGCGAGUGGAAUUCCCGGUGUAGCAGUGAAAUGCGUAGAUAUCGGGAGGAACACCUGUGGCGAAAGCGGCGCACUGGACCACAACUGACGCUGAGGCGCGAAAGCUAGGGGAGCAAACAGG